GUGGGGAAUCUUAGACAAUGGGGGAAACCCUGAUCUAGCCAUGCCGCGUGAUCGAUGAAGGCCUUAGGGUUGUAAAGAUCUUUCGCUGGGGAAGAUAAUGACUGUACCCAGUAAAGAAGCCCCGGCUAACUCCGUGCCAGCAGCCGCGGUAAUACGGAGGGGGCUAGCGUUAUUCGGAAUUACUGGGCGUAAAGCGCACGUAGGCGGACCAGAAAGUUGGGGGUGAAAUCCCGGGGCUCAACCUGGGAACUGCCUUCAAAACUCCUGGUCUUGAGUUCGAGAGAGGUGAGUGGAAUUCCGAGUGUAGAGGUGAAAUUCGUAGAUAUUCGGAGGAACACCAGUGGCGAAGGCGGCUCACUGGCUCGAUACUGACGCUGAGGUGCGAAAGCGUGGGGAGCAAACAGGAUUAGAAACCCCGGUAGUCC
rnacentral:rRNA from 1 species